rnacentral:piRNA from 1 species
UGCCUCUCUUCAUGGGAAUGAAACCCUAUG